rnacentral:tRNA from 1 species
UAGCCUAGUGGUGAAGGCUAUGGAUCGCCAAUCCGGAGACGGUGGGUUCGAUUCCCAU